rnacentral:misc_RNA from 1 species
UUUUAGUUUUUAAUUUUUUUUUUCUCUCUUAUCUCCUAUUCUGUAUAGUUGUACUGUUUUGAGGAGUCCAUUAUUUCACGAUCCUAUUGUAAAUGCAUGCCAGCCAAAAGUUGAAAAGAAGUGUCUAAAGAGAGGAAAAUUCAAGUGCCCAUAAUUUCAACCCAGAGACGUUCCUUCACCCAUCUCAAGACGGAAUUAUGGCUCACACUUUCUACUGGUGUAUGCCUGGAUUGAAAGAUGACAAUGGUUUUUAGCUAUGGACGAGUCAAGUCUGCGCAGCGUGGUCGUGAACCCAAAUGACCAGUCACAGUCAUCUAACUGUUCACCAUUGAUUAUGGUUCUAACUGGUCGCCAUUGAUUAUGGUGCGCUUAUAGUUGGGCCCUCAUUUCACUAUGAGCAAAAAUUCUCUUGAAGGAACCUGCAUUAACAAUUAACAAAUAUUCUAAUUUGUAAUUGCUUCGCAGUCAGCGUAGUUAAGUAUG